rnacentral:rRNA from 1 species
AUUGAACGCUGGCGGCAUGCUUUAUACAUGCAAGUCGAACGGUAACAGGCCUUCGGGUGCUGACGAGUGGCGAACGGGUGAGUAAUGCAUCGGAACGUGCCCAAUCGUGGGGGAUAACGUAGCGAAAGUUACGCUAAUACCGCAUAAGCCCUGAGGGGGAAAGUGGGGGACCGCAAGGCCUCACGCGAAUGGAGCGGCCGAUGUCAGAUUAGCUAGUUGGUGGGGUAAAGGCCCACCAAGGCGACGAUCUGUAGCGGGUCUGAGAGGAUGAUCCGCCACACUGGGACUGAGACACGGCCCAGACUCCUACGGGAGGCAGCAGUGGGGAAUUUUGGACAAUGGGCGCAAGCCUGAUCCAGCCAUGCCGCGUGCGGGACGAAGGCCU